GACGACUGGCGCACGGGUGAGUAACGCGUAUCCAACCUUCCCGUAACUACGGGAUAACCCGUUGAAAGACGGCCUAAUACCGUAUGAUAUCGUUUGCUGACAUCAAAUAACGAUUAAAGGUUUAGCGGUUAUGGAUGGGGAUGCGUCUGAUUAGCUUGCUGGCGGGGUAACGGCCCGCCAAGGCGACGAUCAGUAGGGGUUCUGAGAGGAAGGUCCCCCACAUUGGAACUGAGACACGGUCCAAACUCCUACGGGAGGCAGCAGUGAGGAAUAUUGGUCAAUGGGCGAGAGCCUGAACCAGCCAAGUAGCGUGCAGGAUGACGGCCCUAUGGGUUGUAAACUGCUUUUAUGUGGGGAUAAAGUGCGUGACGUGUCAUGCAUUGCAGGUACCACAUGAAUAAGGACCGGCUAAUUCCGUGCCAGCCGCCGCGGUAAAAGGG
rnacentral:rRNA from 1 species